rnacentral:rRNA from 1 species
AGUAAUACUUGGGCAAUCUGCCCUUGAGAGGGAAACAACCUGCCGAAAGGCGGGCUAAUGUCCCAUAAGACCACAGGAAUGCAUAUUCCAGGGGUCAAAGCUCCGCAAGGGGCGCUUAAGGAGGAGCCCGAGUCCUAUCAUGGUUGUUGGUGAGGUAACGGCUCACCAAGCCUUUGACGGGUAGCCGGCCUGAAAGGGUGACCGGCCACACUGGCACUGAGACACGGGCCAG